UACAGAGGGGGCAAGCGUUGUUCGGAAUUACUGGGCGUAAAGGGCGCGUAGGCGGCCUGUUAAGUCGAACGUGAAAUCCCCGGGCUCAACCUGGGAACUGCAUCCGAGACUGCAUUGCUAGAGUAUGGGAGAGGAAAGCGGAAUUUCUGGUGUAGCAGUGAAAUGCGUAGAUAUCAGAAGGAACAUCAGUGGCGAAGGCGACUUACUGGACACAUAUUGACGCUGAGGUGCGAAAGCGUGGGGAGCAAACAGG
rnacentral:rRNA from 1 species